rnacentral:lncRNA from 10 species
CCAGCGCCCUGGCGCCCCUGCUCCUCCGCGCCCGCCGCGGCGCCCGCAGCCGCUCGGGCCAUUGUUCCGCGGCUGCCAGGGCUGGAGCGGGCUGCCCCUGGGCUUCUGCGCCUCCGUCGUUCCUCUCUGAAGACCUGGCCUCCGCCUCGGAGUGGGAGUGGGUCUGGGAGCUGAGCGCAGAGCUCAGAGCGCCCUCUGUCCCCGCCCGGGCGUCGAGGUCACCCAGCAAGCGCAGAUCGGGGAUCAGGAUGCCUUUCUUGCUCUGGGCCUUGUCACCCACAUAAGAGUCCUUCUGAGCCAUGCCUGCUGUCAUGUACUGGUUCCGUGGGCACCCCGUGAUGGAAGGCAAGAUACCCUGGGGGGCAUUGUCACUGCAAGUGUGAAGAUAUCAUCAUUCAUGGGGAGCUGGCACCAAGUUUGGACUGGUGGAGGAGUGUCGAGCGUGAGGGUCUGUGCUUGGGGCAGAUACAGUCUUGGUCUAAUAUUUUAACAUAAAUUAACCAUAUCAGAAAGAGUUAUUAAACUUAGGACUCAAACCUAUGGAGUAAUAAUUUAAUACUAUAAUUAAAUUAAACACAAUCACAUACACCUAACCCUCAACGAUAUACAGAGAAAGUUUUGAUACUAAUUUUCAAUUCUUUAUCUCUAUGAAGCUGAUGAAAAAUUCUUAGGCAGUGUGCCUGGUGUGGGAUUUUGUAAACCAAAAAUAAUAUUCUAGGCUUCCCAAUCAACUGAAUAGACCUAUCCUCUCAGCCAAGGGCAUUCCAAAAUUAACCUGAAAAACUAGUUCAGACCAUGAUGAGAUGCAGGAGAUGGGGCAUGACUUAUUUACACUCUCCUGUCUUUGGAAUGCAGGCAUGGGUGACCAGCAUUAACAUUAAAAUAGAGAUCUUAAGAAUAAAACAGACUUCCUGUAGCAAUAAGACACCAAAUUCCAGCCUGACUAAAAUAAAUCGAAUAUAUAUAUAUAUACAUAUAUGUAAAACACUUUGAUUUCUUACAUAUAUAUUAUUAUUAUAUAUAUUUUGUUAUUUUUUUGAGAUGAAGUCUCACUCUGUUGCCAGUUCGGAGUGCAGUGGUGCGAUCUCAGCUCACUGCAACCUCUGACUCCAUGGUUCAAGCUAUUUUCCUGCCUCAGCCGACCAAGUAGCUGGGAUUACAAGCACACACCACCACGCCCAGCUAAUUUUUGUAUUUUUAGUAGAGAUGGGGUUUCACCAUGUUGGCCAGGAUGGCCUUGAUCUCCUGACCUCAUGAUCUGCCCACUUUGGCCUCCCAAAGUACUGGGAUUACAGGCAUAAGCCACCGUGCC